rnacentral:rRNA from 1 species
AGAACGCUGGCGGCGUGGAUUAGGCAUGCAAGUCGAACGGUAUCAUCCUUUCGGGGGUGAGAGAGUGGCGAACUGGUGAGUAACACGUAGGUUAUCUACCCUCAAGACGGGGACAACCCAGGGAAACUUUGGGCUAAUACCGGAUGUGAGCAACUUUUUAGUUGUUUGAAAGGUGGCGUAAGCUGUCGCUUGGGGAUGAGCCUGCGUCCUAUUAGUUAGUUGGUGAGGUAACGGCUCACCUAGGCAAUGAUAGGUAGGCGGCCUUAACGGGUGGUCGCCCACACUGGGAUUGAGAUACGGCCCAGACUCCUACGGGAGGCAGCAGUCGAGAAUAGUCUACAAUGGUCGGAAGACUGAUAGUGCGACGCCGCGUGAACGAUGAAUCCCUUCGGGGUGUAAAGUUCUUUUAUAUGUGAGCAGUGCUUCUUAUAUUAACAGUAUGGGGAGAGAGAUAUUAGCAUAUGAAUAAGCAACGGCUAACUCCGUG